AAAAAAAAAAAAGGAAAAUGAGGAAAAUCGGUGGAUUGUUACACAACAUGUCCCCUUUCGUGGUCGCCUUUCUUUUUCUUUUUUCCUUUUUCCUUUUUCCUGUUUCCCCACCCUUGUCGGUAGGACUGGAUUGAGAUUGGGAUCUGUGGUCUCCACUCUGCAACAGGAAAGAAGCAAACCAGGCAAGUUUUGCACCUCUCUGUUGAGGGGGGAGAGAAGCAAGAUAAUAAACAAUUCCUGUAGAACUUUUUUUUUCAA
rnacentral:ribozyme from 1 species